UUAUUUACGGAGAGUUUGAUUCUGGCUCAGAGCGAACGCUGGCGGCGUGGAUAAGACAUGCAAGUCGAACGGGAAUCAUCGGGUAGCAAUAUUCGGUGAUUCUAGUGGCGAAAGGGUGCGUAACACGUAGCUACCUACCUCGAAGCGGGGGAUAGCUCGGCGAAAGCCGAAUUAAUACCGCAUGUGGUCGAGAGACUAAAGUUGGGGAUCGCAAGACCUGACACUUCGAGAUGGGGCUGCGGCCUAUCAGCUAGUUGGCGGGGUAAUGGCCCACCAAGGCGAAGACGGGUAGCUGGUCUGAGAGGACGACCAGCCACACUGGAACUGAGACACGGUCCAGACACCUACGGGUGGCAGCAGUCGAGGAUUUUUCUCAAUGGGGGAAACCCUGAAGGAGCGACGCCGCGUGGGGGAUGAAGGUCUUCGGAUUGUAAACCCCUGUCAUCCGGGAGCAAAGCGCUCUACCUAACACGUGGAUCGUUGAUCGUACCGGAAGAGGAAGCCGUGGCUAACUCUGUGCCAGCAGCCGCGGUAAUACAGAGACGGCAAGCGUUGCUCGGAUUCAUUGGGCGUAAAGGGUGCGUAGGCGGUCGGGUAAGUCUGAUGUGAAAUCUCACAGCCUAACUGUGACUGGUCAUUGGAAACUGCCCGGCUCGAGGACUGGAGGGGAGACUGGAAUAGCUGGUGUAGCGGUGAAAUGCGUAGAGAUCAGCUAGAACACCGGUGGCGAAGGCGGGUCUCUGGACAGUUCCUGACGCUGAGGCACGAAAGCCAGGGGAGCAAACGGGAUUAGAUACCCCGGUAGUCCUGGCCCUAAACGGUGUUCACUUGGUGUGCGGGGAGUCGACCCCCUGCGUGCCGGAGCUAACGUGGUAAGUGAACCGCCUGGGAAGUACGGUCGCAAGAUUAAAACUCAAAGAAAUUGACGGGGGCCCGCACAAGCGGUGGAGCAUGUGGCUUAAUUCGAUGCAACGCGAAGAACCUUACCUGGCCUUGACAUGCUGGUGGUAGAACCCAGAAACGGGGACGACCUAUCGCAAGAUAGGAGCCAGCACAGGUGCUGCAUGGUUGUCGUCAGCUCGUGUCGUGAGAUGUUGGCUUAAGUGCCGCAACGAGCGCAACCCCUGUGCUUAGUUGCCCGGUCGCGAGACCGGGAUCUCUAAGCAGACUGCCUCGAUUCCAAUCGCGGAGGAAGGUGGGGAUGACGUCAAAUCAGUAUGGCCCUUACGGCCAGGGCUGCACACGUGCUACAAUGCCCGGUACAGAGGGACGCAAGACCGCGAGGUGGAGCAAAUCCCUGAAAACCGGGCCCAGUUCAGAUUGCAGGCUGCAACUCGCCUGCAUGAAGCCGGAAUCGCUAGUAAUGGCGUAUCAGCUACGACGCCGUGAAUACGUUCCCGGGCCUUGUACACACCGCCCGUCACAUCAUGGGAGCCGAUUGCACCCGAAGUCGCCGCGUCAACCGCAAGGAGACAGGCGCCGAAGGUAUGGUUGGUGACUGGGAUGAAGUCGUAACAAGGUAGCCGUAGGGGAACCUGCGGCUGGAUCACCUCCUUUCUAAGGAGA
rnacentral:rRNA from 1 species